AACGAACGCUGGCGGCAUGCCUAACACAUGCAAGUCGAACGAACCCUUCGGGGUUAGUGGCGCACGGGUGCGUAACGCGUGGGAAUCUGCCCUUUGCUUCGGAAUAACUCAGGGAAACUUGUGCUAAUACCGGAUGAUUUCUUCGGACCAAAGAUUUAUCGGCAAGGGAUGAGCCCGCGUAGGAUUAGGUAGUUGGUGGGGUAAAGGCCUACCAAGCCGACGAUCCUUAGCUGGUCUGAGAGGAUGAUCAGCCACACUGGGACUGAGACACGGCCCAGACUCCUACGGGAGGCAGCAGUGGGGAAUAUUGGACAAUGGGCGCAAGCCUGAUCCAGCAAUGCCGCGUGAGUGAUGAAGGCCCUCGGGUCGUAAAGCUCUUUUACCAGGGAUGAUAAUGACAGUACCUGGAGAAUAAGCUCCGGCUAACUCCGUG
rnacentral:rRNA from 1 species